rnacentral:lncRNA from 1 species
UCAUGUCACUGCUGCUGUGUGAUUCUAUUUUAUAGCCAAUUUCACCAUUUUAUGGAUUUCCAUAGAUUAGUUAGCACAUAAAGCAUACAUGUUAUCAAAUAUAAUCUCGAUUAGCCACUCCAAUAGUUAAUCAUUCUCAAACAUUUUCAUGCCAUCCAUGAGCUAUAUCAUAAGAUUAUAUACACAAAAGGAUUAUAAUGCUAUACAUGCCAUAUUCUCAAAAUAUGCAAGCCACCAUACCGAGAUGGUCCGUCGAUAGUGUGAGCGUGCCUUCGACCGUCCUGAUCUCCAAACCGGCUUGUCAAAACUACAAGGAAUGGAAGGGAAGGAGUAAGCAUAAAUGCUUAGUAAGUUUACAUGCAAAUAACAAAUAACUUAACAAAGCAAUUAUACCAAGCAACAUUAGCAUAAUAUCACCAAUACAUAUUUCACAUUUCUAUUCAUCAUUCAUCGUCUUACUACAUUAUUGUUGUCGUAUCAAGUCUCAACCCGAGGGUUAAGUACAUACCUGUCCAAAGUGCCCAUUCCACAACACUUACCAAUACGUCACUUGCAUCUUAAGUAUUCUUCCAUUUCACUAGAAUUUUACCCGUUGAACAUAUCGGAAUAUAACUCAGAUACAUGGAAAGUUUGCACAUAAGUGCCACAUAUGUAGCCAAGCUACCAUGUAACCCACCCAUAAGGCAACUCGGACUCAACUCAAUGAGCUCGGGCGUUCGCAUCCAUAAGUGAACUCGGACUCAACUCAACGAGCUCGGAUGCCUAGUUACAUCUCACGAACUCGGACUCAACUCAAAGAGUUCGGACGUUCGCAUCCAUAAGUUAACUCGGACUCAACUCAACGAGUUCGGAUGUUCGCAUCCAUAAGUGAACUCGGACUCAACUCAACGAGUUCGAAUACCUAAAUAUCCGAAUCUAUUCCUAAGGUUCAACGAGACUUUCCUCGUUCGUACUCCUUUACCAUUCUCCUUGGAAUACCAAUAACGAUACUUCGGUAGUCCUUCACAUUUUUCACAUAAUUCAUAAAAUUUUUGCAUGUUGUCCAACAAUAACCACAAAGCAUAGAAUUGCAUGAUAACAAUCAUAAUAUCGUAUAAAUAGCAUUAAAUGAUUUAAAAUAAUGAUUAUAUUACAAUAUUUACAUAUGACUUACCUUGUAUGCGAAAAUGGUCAUUUUUACCAUUUUGUCUACAACUUGGUAUUUUGCUGAUUUUAGCCCGAAUUUCGAUUUUCCUUGCUCUAUCAUUUCAAAUAUAGCCUAAUUAUGACUCAUAUUAUUCAAAUCAACCCAAAAUCAUAUUUUGGAAAAAUUAUAAUUUUACCCCUAAACUUUCACAUAUUUACACUUUGCCCCAAAUCUCGUAAAUUAAACUUCAUCCUAUUUUCUUAUGUUUUAUGAUAUGCUGAUCAUUUUUCCCUUCUACAGAAACAUCCAAUUCUCACUCUAACAUGUACUUAUGAACAUUAGGUAUUUUUACCGAUUAUGUCAUUUUAGUCGUUUUUACGUAAAAUCACUUAGCAAAAGUUGUUUAACACAAUCUCAAGCUUUAUAUUCUACCAUAAAACAUCAAAAUUCAUGCAUAUCAUUCAUGGGUAAAUUUUUAAAUAUAAACCCUAGCUCAAAAUAUUGGUAGAAAUAGGUAAACCGAGCUACGGGGAUUUUAAAAAUGUAAAGAACUUUAAAAACGGGCAUAGAAAUCACUUACAAUCAAGGCUUAAAAGUGUUGAAACCCUAGCUAUGGUGGAGAGAAAAAUUUGGCAGCAAAUUAUGGAGAAGAUGAUCAUUUUUGUGUUAUUUUUCCAUUUUAUUUCAUUUAAUAUUCAAAUGACCAAAAUGCCCUUCUUUAUUAAACUUUCAAAAAUUCCAUCCAUGUCCAAUUUUCCAUAAACAUAGAAAUUGGUCAAAUUUCUAUUUAAGACCUCCUAAUUAAUAUUUCAAAGCAAUUUCAUACUAGAAACUUCUAGAAUGCAAGUUUUGUAACUUAUUCAAUUUAGUCCCUAACUUCAAAUUAAGCACUUUAUGCGUAGAAUUUCGUUACGAAAUUUUCACACAAUCAUGCAAUCAUAUCAUAGACCUCAAAAUAAUCAUAAAAUAAUUAUUUUUAUCUCAGAAUUGUGGUCCCGAAACCACUAUUCCAAUUAGGCCUAAUUCGAGAUAUCACAAACAGAGUACCCAACACCGAUUUAAUAGAUUGAUUAAUGAAUGCAACAUAAGAAUCAACAUGGAACUGACUUACCACCAAUGAAAAACCACCCCUAACGCGUAUUAAACAGUUGAAGUGCAAUUCUCUGCUCCACAAUCUACUCCUAAACACGAAUUACCACUAAUCAAUCACUACAGAAUGUUAUCGCUAAAAUCCCAAAAGUUAACGACAACAGUGUUCUACUUACCAAACCAAAAGGAGAACCUGACAAUUCCAAUAGCACGAUCGAACAACGGAUUCACGAGUCGAAUCGAAAGAGAAAUAAAAUAGAGGGAUGCCAGAAAAAGAGAAGAAAAUGUCAAGAAGGGGAAAAACAAAAGAAAUUAGACGUUAGAUUUCUUUAGAGGAGAGAGAAAUUUUUAGCAAAAAGAAAUAAAAAUAAGAGAUAUCCCACAUAUCUCUUAUUUUACUUCCACUAACCCACUACUCAUAACUCUCUCAAAAUUUUAGCUCUACCGAAACUCUAUUAAACAACCAAGCAAAAAUUAACAUCCAUACUUGCAAAGAGAUUCAAACACAGAACCUCCAACACACUAACUCACCACUCGAACAAGCUGGCUUAUUCUAAAAUGAAUUAACAAAAAAUUCUAUGUAAGCCCACUCCACAAGGGUAAAGGCUUGAACCAAAAAUAACAAAAAUUAUCAAAAGUGAAACUUGAACCUAAGACCUCAAACACACACUCAAAACUCUUAGCCACUAAAGCAAAUAUAUAUUCAUGUCAAAUAUUUACAAAAAUAGAAAUAAAUUAUUUAAGGCAUUACAGUAAUUGGUGAUUCUUCUUAAUACGGUGUAGUGAUUUUUUCGAGCCAAUUUUAUAUAAAAAAAAUUUUUCCAACACAUACGCAUCUAAUAAAAAUUUUAAGUUAUUUAAAAGAAUUAAAAUUAUAUUUUUAUUUAAAUAUCAUAUUACUAGUUAUAUACUCAUCCUAAUCACCAAUUCUUAUUUAUAAGCUAAAAGUGUCCACGAUUAGGCUAAGGGCUUCUAUACAUUAAACAUAGUAACAUAUUAAAUUUUAUUGUAUAAAAAAUAUUAAAUUUUAAUCUAAUUUGAGCUAUACAAAAUAUCAAAUUAUUAAUUUGAUAUUUUAAUAAUAAAUAUAAAAUAAAUAAAAUUGAAUAAUUAUAUAAAAUAUUCAACAAAAUUUUUUAAAAAAAAACCCCGCGAUACGUGGGCGAAGUUGCUGUGGUGGAAAUGAAAGUGAUUUAAGACCACUAGAAAAACAAUAAAUGUGGGAUUCAUCCUUUUUCCUCGAUAACUACUACAAUCUCAAUGCUUAUAUAAAUGUAUCUUAAUUAUUCCAUUGCAUCAAAAACUCUCAAUCUCUCUCUCACACACAUAUUCACACUUUUAAUAAUAUUUAAAAUGGAGAAAUCUUCUCGUUUGGUGUCAUCUUUAGUCCUUCUUAUGUUGAUUCUCCUAGCAACAGGUUUCUCUUUAAUUUUUUUUUUCAAAUUCUUGUUAAUUUAUUAUUUAAUUCGCUACAAAUUCAAAAUUUUUCAUACAAAAUAUUUGUAUUUAACAUGCUCAGAUGACCAUAAACUUAAGCAUGUCAACUCUUAAAUUAUAUAUAUACAUAUAAAUUUGAUAUUCACUCUUCGACAAAAUAGUAACCGGUGACAAUUAGUAUGAAGUUACCACAUUAACUAUAUAAGUUGGCUAUGGCCCAUUUUUCUUUGAGUAGUUUUAUUAUUAAUUCUUUAUUUAAUAUAUGUGCAUAUAUUAAAGCUAACCAUCCCAUAUGCUUAAAUAUAUUUUUUAUUUAUUUGACAUUCACUCUUAUAAUACUUAUGCAUCAUUAUGAAAUAAAACAGAGGUGGGACCUAUGGCAGUGGAAGGUAGAACAUGCGAGACUAAAAGUAGUGAAUACAAGGGGAUAUGCUUAUUUGAUGCUAAUUGUGAUAGUAUUUGCAAAGUAGAGCCGGGUUUCGAUGGUGGGCAUUGCCAUGGCUUUUUUCGCAGAUGCUACUGCACUAAACCUUGUUAAACAAGCAAUCUAUUAGGAUUUCUUUAUACUUAAAAAAUUUGCUUUAUUUACUCUUGUUAUGUGUGUGCUUGAGAGUUGAGAGAAUAAGAUCAACAACAUAUUGGUGUACAUUGAAUUCUAUUACUAUUGAAUAUAUCUAUAAUUUUUAUGUUCCAUAUGAAUUAACUUCUAAAUUAAUUCUCUUUAAUUCUAAUCUUUCUAUUUCUUCUUGGACUAUUUGUUUUAAAAUGUAUAUAAGUAAGACUAUAUGCUUGAAUUUGAGACUUACUUAUGAACCAUGCCAAAUUUGAUGAAAUUUAUAUAAUAAUUUUUUUUAUAUUGAAUUUCAUGGUAUGUGAUAAGCUAGUUAAUUACGUAUCUUUAAAAGACAAAACAAGCCACUACCUUCUUUUCAAUCGGUAAAAUUACAAUAAUUCAUUAUUGCAUAUUGAUAGAGUAUCACUGAUAGAGUAGUUGUAUAUUGGUAGUUGUGGUUUGUUAUCCAAGUGGUUAGUCUGUUACUCAGAGCAGUUACUAAGCUCUCUUCUAUAAAUAACAAUCUUGAUGGCAGUGGUUAGACUACCUUCUUGAUGUACAAAAGCAAUUCAAGGUUAGUUCAUUCAUAAAGUGUUUAGUCUAGUUUACCUUCUAUCAUGGUAUCAAUCGCCUAAGAUCUUGGUGGUCGCUUCCGCUCCGUGUUCAUGGAUCCGUUGGUUGAUCAGCCUACUGGUGCUUAGCUUCCUACUUCUGCUUCGCACUCUCGCCUGGUCUAUAGCUUCCCUCGUCAUGAGAUUGCUAAGCUAGAUGAGUCUAAUUUCGUCCAGUGGCAGCAUCAAGUCCGACUUAUUGUUGAUGGCUACGGUCUUCAAGGGUUCUUGGAUGGCUCAGUCACUGAAUUGCCGAAGGUGGUGGCCACAAACGAUGGUUGUCUUGCUCCAAAUCCAGAUGUGGUUUGGUUCACGCAGCAGGAUAAGCUGCUUGCCUCGUGGCUUCUAUCCACGGUGAGCUCGUCUCUUCUCUCUUAUUUCAUUUCGACUAAAUCUGCUUGUGAUAUUUGGAGUGUAGCAAGUCACCUCUUCGUCGCAACCUCAGUUGAGAAAGUUUCUCAGAUCCGUCAUGAUUUACACGCGGUUCGGAAGGGCAGAUCUACCGUCAAAGAAUAUGCGUCCAAAAUCAACACUCUUUGUGCCUUGCUUGUGGCGUCGGGAUCGGCCGUUUCAGAGGCGGAGAAGGUGGAAGUUCUUCUCGGAGGUCUCACCUCUGAUUUUGAUUCGGUCUUUAUGGUGGUUUCGGCCUCGUCGGAGCCCUUGACCUUUUCGAAAUUGGUGGACAUUCUUAUGGCCUUCGAGCGUCGCCAGUCCCGGGUAGUGCGUGAUGUGCCGUUGGUUGCACAUAUGGCUCAGGUUCCUAGUGCAGUGCCUGAUUAUGAUUCGCGUGGUGCUCGUGGUGGUCGGAUGCCGACUGGGUCGCGUGGUGGCUGAGCUUUUCGUUCGUGGGUGCAGUGUCAGAUUUGCAAUCGGUUUGGGCAUGUUGCCCAGCGGUGCUAUUAUCGCUUUGAUCGCGACUAUGAUGGACUAUCGGAGGCCGGUGCUACUGGUGGUGGUAAACCCGUCCGUCUGCAUCCUCUUGCACAACGACUUGAAGGAGGGCAGUGGGUUUGGCAACAGAACCCGAUUGCUGGUGAUAAUGGUCAGCCCAAUUGGGCUUCAUACUCUAUUGGACCGACUAGUGGGUUUUAUGCGCCUAGGCCGUCUGUGUAUGACCAUGUUAGCAGACCACCCGUAGCAAAAAGGAUGCAUCCGGAUUUGGGCUUGCAUUAAGGGCGUGAUUUUUUUGAUUGACAUGGGCCGAAUGGUGCAGGCCGAAUAUUUAAGCCAGCUGGGCCUAGUGGUCCAUCUUCAGCUCCUCGGGCUCCCUAUGUGUCUCAGCAGUCCCCUGGGUCUCCGGUUGUGCACUGUGUUGGUGUUAAUGGCUCCGUUCCGAAUGCUCCUCCUGAGGCUCCGUGGCGUACAAAACCUCGUGCUCUAGUUUUUGAUGUUGAUAAUUCUCAGCGUAUUGGCUUGCCUCGAAUACCGGACUUUUAUGCUUCUGAUUUUUCCGAUCCGUCUCGAUACGAUUCUAGCUAUGGUAGUGUUGACCCGUAUGGUACUACGCCUACUGGAACUCCUUCGUGGUACUCGGAUUCUGGAGCGUCCAAUCAUGUUUGUUAGAGUACUGCAGACUUGAAUGCUUCAACACUGUAUUCAGGUACAUCUAACCUUUUAAUGGGUAAUGGGGCUCCUACCAAAAUUUUAUCUAUUGGGG